rnacentral:lncRNA from 14 species
CAAGAACAUCGGGCUCCAAACGUUGUCAUUAACUGUUCCUGUCAUCCUCAUGGUCAAUAAGAACCAAGCACCCAUAGGUCCAUUCUGGAUAAGCAUAGUUGUGAUGUUUAGGGUGCUCAAUUUGUAACCUGUACGAACAAAAACUGUCUCUGGGUUGUGCCGCUGUCCCG